rnacentral:pre_miRNA from 1 species
AGGAGGACGGGAGGGUACGGAGGGGAAAGAGGGAAGGUACUCCAUACCUUCCCCCUCCUCCGUACCCUCCCCUCCUCUUC